GCGGAUAUGAUGGAAUGGUAGACAUGUUAGAUUUAGGCUCUAAAAAUUAAGGGUUCAAGUCCCUUUAUCCGUA
rnacentral:tRNA from 1 species